UCUGGGGCAGAAAGACCUUCUAGAUGGCACACUGGAGAACCACGGGAAAACUAGUCAAGGAGAAAAGCUUCAAGUAUGCAGUAACAGACGCUUAGCCCCACUGAAAGAGAAGCAAGGCAUAGGAAACGCAGAGUAAGACACAGAGCUUCUGGUCAGAAAAAAUUCUCCCCAAGACGUACCAUUCUGAGGAAAGCAAGGAGCAUACUGGCACAGGUUGCCCAGAGAGGCUGUGGAGGCCCCAUCCCUGGAAGUGUUUAAGACCAGGCUGGAUGGGGCUUUGGGCAACGUGGUCUAGUGGAGGGUGUCCCUGCCCGCAGCAGGGGCGUUGGAACUACAUGAUCUUUAAGGUCCCUUCCAACCCAAACCAUUCUGUGAUUCUAUACCAUUUAGCUUAAAACAAAAGCAAAUUCCAAAACCUACUGUGUAGCCAACUUCAAGCAGC